UACAGAGGGUGCAAGCGUUGUUCGGAAUUAUUGGGCGUAAAGGGCGCGUAGGCGGUGCGGUAAGUCUGCAGUGAAAUCUCUGGGCUCAACUCAGAGUCUGCUGUGGAAACUGCCGUGCUUGAGUGUGGGAGAGGUGAGUGGAAUUCCGGUGUAGUGGUGAAAUGCGUAGAGAUCGGCAGGAACAGCCCAGGGGAAACCAGCCGACUGGGCAUCUACUGACGCUGAGGUGCGAGAGCGUGGGAGCGAACGG
rnacentral:rRNA from 1 species